AUUGAACGCUGGCGGCAGGCCUAACACAUGCAAGUCGAGCGGAUGACGGGAGCUUGCUCCUGGAUUCAGCGGCGGACGGGUGAGUAAUGCCUAGGAAUCUGCCUGGUAGUGGGGGACAACGUUUCGAAAGGAACGCUAAUACCGCAUACGUCCUACGGGAGAAAGCAGGGGACCUUCGGGCCUUGGGCUAUCAGAUGAGCCUAGGUCGGAUUAGCUAGUUGGUGAGGUAAUGGCUCACCAAGGCGACGAUCCGUAACUGGUCUGAGAGGAUGAUCAGUCACACUGGAACUGAGACACGGUCCAGACUCCUACGGGAGGCAGCAGUGGGGAAUAUUGGACAAUGGGCGAAAGCCUGAUCCAGCCAUGCCGCGUGUGUGAAGAAGGUCUUCGGAUUGUAAAGCACUUUAAGUUGGGGGGAAGGGUUGUAGAUUAAUACUCUGCAAUUUUGACGUUACCGACAGAAUAAGCACCGGCUAACUCUGUGCCAGCCGCCGCCGUAACAC
rnacentral:rRNA from 1 species